rnacentral:lncRNA from 1 species
UUGAACAUAGGCAAUUCAAGAUAUCAUUAUCAAAACCAAUAGUACCUUGAGAGUUUAAUGUAUAUCUUGACCUUAGAGCUUUUUCAACAACAGUGAUUUUUGGUUCGCCCACUGGAGUUAAAGGCAAAUCAAUCUCAACAACUGGAUGUGGUUCUUCAUCAUUAUCUUGCAAUCCCUCCAACUCUCCAUCAUGUGGAACAUGCAAUUCAUUAGCAAUAUUAACAAUCACCUCUUCUUCGAAGUCUUCAUUAUUUGGAAUCAC